CCCUUAGACACUCUAGGCGGCACGCGCGCUACAAUGGGUGGAAGAACGUGUUACUGCCUCCGAAAGGAGGGGUGAAUCACGAAUUCUUGCCCGUGAAUGGGAUAGUUUGUUGCAAUUUUCGGACUUGAACUAGGAAUCCCUUGUAAACAUGCUCAAGAAUAGCGUGUUGAAUACGUCCCUGCCGUUUGUACACACCGCCCGUCGUUUCUUCCGACUGAUACUCAUUGUGAGUUGCAAGGACCCUUUAUUGGGAAAUUGCUGCAAAUGCUUUGUAUUGGAGGAAGAAAAAGUCGUAACAA
rnacentral:rRNA from 1 species